GGGGGUAUAACUCAGUGGUAGAGUGGCUGAUUGCAGUCAUCAGCAAGUCGGGUGUUCGACCCACUCUGCUCCCU
rnacentral:tRNA from 1 species